UACGUAGGGUGCAAGCGUUGUCCGGAAUUAUUGGGCGUAAAGAGCUCGUAGGCGGUCUGUCACGUCGGCUGUGAAAUCCCGAGGCUCAACCUCGGGUCUGCAGUCGAUACGGGCAAACUAGAGUAUUGCAGGGGAGACUGGAAUUCCUGGUGUAGCGGUGAAAUGCGCAGAUAUCAGGAGGAACACCGGUGGCGAAGGCGGGUCUCUGGGCAAUACUGACGCUGAGGAGCGAAAGCGUGGGGAGCGAACAGG
rnacentral:rRNA from 1 species